GAUGAACGCUGGCGGCGUGCCUAAUACAUGCAAGUCGAGCGAACGGACGAGAAGCUUGCUUCUCUGAUGUUAGCGGCGGUCGGGUGAGUAACACGUGGAUAACCUACCUAUAAGACUGGGAUAACUUCGGGAAACCGGAGCUAAUACCGGAUAAUAUUUUGAACCGCAUGGUUCAAAAGUAAAAGACGGUCUUGCUGUCACUUAUAGAUGGAUCCGCGCUGCAUUAGCUAGUUGGUAAGGUAACGGCUUACCAAGGCAACGAUGCAUAGCCGACCUGAGAGGGUGAUCGGCCACACUGGAACUGAGACACGGUCCAGACUCCUACGGGAGGCAGCAGUAGGGAAUCUUCCGCAAUGGGCGAAAGCCUGACGGAGCAACGCCGCGUGAGUGAUGAAGGUCUUCGGAUCGUAAAACUCUGUUAUUAGGGAAGAACAUAUGUGUAAGUAACUGUGCACAUCUUGACGGUACCUAAUCAGAAAGCCACGGCUAACUACGUG
rnacentral:rRNA from 1 species